UUCUUUACUUGCAUUAAUAAAAUAUACACAUUAUGAUAACGACAAUGGUACUGUAACUUUUAAAAUUAAUUCUUUAUCUUUUCUCAGUAAGCGUGCUGUCACUAGAGAUCACAUUUAUUCUGAGUGGUCUCUUGUUUGUCCCUUUAGUUGGCUCAUUGGUGUGGGAUUAUGCCAUUACUGUCACCACUCUCCAUGUAUGCAUAUGUUGCAUAGUGACCACUGAAUUUCCUUUGAUAUGGCAAUGGUGGGUUGAAAUAGGCUGUGGAAUGCUACUAAUGCUUGGCUGUGGGCAGACUCUUGCACAUUUAACGGUCACAGGGACACCCAACAAGCAUUCUGAAUUCUAAAA